GUCGGUAAAACUCGUGCCAGCCACCGCGGUUAUACGAGAGGCCCAAGUUGAUAAUUAACGGCGUAAAGAGUGGUUAGAAAGAGUUUUUACUAAAGCCGAACGUCUUCAGAGCUGUUAUACGCAUCCGAAGAUGAGAAGCCCAUCCACGAAAGUGGCUUUACAGUCUUGAACCCACGAAAGCUACGAAACAAACUGGGAUUAGAUACCCCACUAUG
rnacentral:rRNA from 1 species